rnacentral:rRNA from 1 species
AGAGUUCGAUCCUGGCUCAGGAUGAACGCUGGCGGCGCGCCUAACACAUGCAAGUCGAACGGCACCCCUCUCCGGAGGGAAGCGAGUGGCGAACGGCUGAGUAACACGUGGAGAACCUGCCCCCUCCCCCGGGAUAGCCGCCCGAAAGGACGGGUAAUACCGGAUACCCCGGGGUGCCGCAUGGCACCCCGGCUAAAGCCCCGACGGGAGGGGAUGGCUCCGCGGCCCAUCAGGUAGACGGCGGGGUGACGGCCCACCGUGCCGACAACGGGUAGCCGGGUUGAGAGACCGACCGGCCAGAUUGGGACUGAGACACGGCCCAGACUCCUACGGGAGGCAGCAGUGGGGAAUCUUGCGCAAUGGGGGGAACCCUGACGCAGCGACGCCGCGUGCGGGACGGAGGCCUUCGGGUCGUAAACCGCUUUCAGCAGGGAAGAGUCAAGACUGUACCUGCAGAAGAAGCCCCGGCUAACUACGUGCCAGCAGCCGCGGUAAUACGUAGGGGGCGAGCGUUAUCCGGAUUCAUUGGGCGUAAAGCGCGCGUAGGCGGCCCGGCAGGCCGGGGGUCGAAGCGGGGGGCUCAACCCCCCGAAGCCCCCGGAACCUCCGCGGCUUGGGUCCGGUAGGGGAGGGUGGAACACCCGGUGUAGCGGUGGAAUGCGCAGAUAUCGGGUGGAACACCGGUGGCGAAGGCGGCCCUCUGGGCCGAGACCGACGCUGAGGCGCGAAAGCUGGGGGAGCGAACAGGAUUAGAUACCCUGGUAGUCCCAGCCGUAAACGAUGGACGCUAGGUGUGGGGGGACGAUCCCCCCGUGCCGCAGCCAACGCA